AAAAAAACAAAAUUGAAGAAGAAUCAGCUUUCUGCUACAAUCUGUGUUAUUAAUCAAAGGUAGACCUAGAUGUUAAUAAUGUUAAUAAUAGAUACCGGGUAGCGUGAAACUGCUGUAUUUAUCCAAUACUUUUUCUAUCGAAAACUGCCCGAAAUGGCCAGAAUCAAAGGUUGCACGAAAAGGCAGGAAGGAGAGCUGAGGAGAGGGUGAAGAGGAGAAGGAGGAGCGGGAAGGAGAGGGGGAUGAGGAGGAGAGGGAAGGAGGCGGAGAGGAGAAGAUGGAGUGGGAAGCUUCGAAAACCUAUAAAAAUAGUACGUUUUCGGUGAUUGCCUGACGCUUACAGCUCCUUACUACUGCACGAAUAUCUCCCUCCUCACAGCCUCUGGGUCCCUUCUUCUCUCCAUGGAAAGCAGAGGUAAAAGGCUAUUGCUCCAUCUCUUUUACUGCAAAAGCAUGAAGCAUCUGUGAAUAACACAUGUGCAUUAAAUCCUCAUGAACGACUAUGAGUUUUAUCAGAGUUUUCAAGUUCUAACCAGAUACAGGUGUAGGGUUG
ensembl:lncRNA